rnacentral:rRNA from 1 species
GAAGGCCUUCGGGUUGUAAAGCACUUUCAGUCGUGAGGAAGGGGGUGUCGUUAAUAGCGGCAUCUCUUGACGUUAGCGACAGAAGAAGCACCGGCUAACUCCGUGCCAGCAGCCGCGGUAAUACGGAGGGUGCGAGCGUUAAUCGGAAUUACUGGGCGUAAAGCGCAUGCAGGUGGUUCGUUAAGUCAGAUGUGAAAGCCCGGGGCUCAACCUCGGAGCAUUUGAAACUGGAACUAGAGUACUGUAGAGGGGGGUAGAAUUUCAGGUGUAGCGGUGAAAUGCGUAGAGAUCUGAAGGAAUACCGGUGGCGAAGGCGGCCCCCUGGACAGAUACUGACACUCAGAUGCGAAAGCGUGGGGAGCAAACAGGAUUAGAUACCCUGGUAGUCCACGCCGUAAACGAUGUCUACUUGGAGGUUGUGGCCUUGAGCCGUGGCUUUCGGAGCUAACGCGUUAAGUAGACCGCCUGGGGAGUACGGUCGCAAGAUUAAAACUCAAAUGAAUUGACGGGGGCCCGCACAAGCGGUGGAGCAUGUGGUUUAAUUCGAUGCAACGCGAAGAACCUUACCUACUCUUGACAUCCAGAGAACAGAGAUGCAUGGGUGCCUUCGGGAACUCUGAGACAGGUGCUGCAUGGCUGUCGUCAGCUCGUGUUGUGAAAUGUUGGGUUAAGUCCCGCAACGAGCGCAACCCUUAUCCUUGUUUGCCAGCGAGUAAUGUCGGGAACUCCAGGGAGACUGCCGGUGAUAAACCGGAGGAAGGUGGGGACGACGUCAAGUCAUCAUGGCCCUUACGAGUAGGGCUACACACGUGCUACAAUGGCGCAUACAGAGGGCAGCAAACUUGCGAUAGUGAGCGAAUCCCAAAAAGUGCGUCGUAGUCCGGAUUGGAGUCUGCAACUCGACUCCAUGAAGUCGGAAUCGCUAGUAAUCGUAGAUCAGAAUGCUACGGUGAAUACGUUCCCGGGCCUUGUACACACCGCCCGUCACACCAUGGAAGUGGGCUGCAAAAGAAGUAGGUAGUUUAACCUUCGGGAGGACGCUUACCACUUU